AUAACGGUCCUAAGGUAGCGAAAUUCCUUGUCGGGUAAGUUCCGACCUGCACGAAAGGCGUAACGAUUUGGACGCUGUCUCAACCAUAGACCCGGUGAAAUUGCACUAGUCGUGAAGAUGCGACUUACCCGCGGAAGGACGGAGAGACCCCGUGAACCUUUACUGCAGCUAGACAUUGGCUGCCGGUCCGUCGUGUAGAGGAUAGGUGGGAGACAGUGAACCAGGGACGCCAGUCUCUGGGGAGUCGCCCUUGGAAUACCACCCUCGACGUUCUGGCAGCCUAACCCCGCGCCGUGAUCCGGGCGGGGGACCGUGUCUGGUGGGUAGUUUGACUGGGGCGGUCGCCUCCUAAAGUGUAACGGAGGCGCACGUAAGGUCUGCUCAGGAUGGUCGGCAACCACCCUUUUGAGUGCAAGAGCAUAAGCAGGCUUGACUGCGAGACCCACGAGUCGAGCAGAUGGGAAACCAGGUUCUAGUGAUCCGGCGGCUCAGAGUGGAAUGGCCGUCGCUCAACGGAUAAAAGGUACUCCGGGGAUAACAGGCUGAUCUUCCCCAAGAGUCCACAUCGACGGCAAGGUUUGGCACCUCGAUGUCGGCUCAUCGCAUCCUGGGGCUGGAGCAGGUCCCAAGGGUAUGGCCGUUCGCCAUUUAAAGCGGUACGCGAGCUGGGUUCAGAACGUCGUGAGACAGUUCGGUCCCUAUCCUCCGUGGGCGUAGGAAAACUGAGGGAGGCUGCCCCUAGUACGAGAGGACCGGGGUGGACGGACCUCCGGUGUACGGGUUGUCAACCUAAUGGCACUGCCCGGUAGCUGAGUCCGGUCGGGAUAACCGCUGAAAGCAUCUAAGCGGGAAGCCCAUCCCGAGAUGAGUUUUCCUUUCGGUAAGACCCCUCGUAGACGACGAGGUUGAUAGGCUGCAGGUGCAAGCGCCGCGAGGCGCUCAGCCGAGCAGUACUAAUCGGUCGAGCUCUUCUUCCC
rnacentral:rRNA from 1 species